UAUUUAUAUAUCCGCUCCUUAGAACGUCAAUACAUGCAUUAGAGACAGGCUUUAAAUGUAUGAUAAUGGACAAGGUCCUAUAAUAGGACCUCAUCCAUAGGUGCACAGGUGUGAGUAUUGGAAAGGAAGACGCGCACAUGCUCUUGUGAGCCAGCAGCAGUCCCCUCGAAAAAUACUGUAAUGAUCCUUCCGCAGGUUCACCUACGGAAA
rnacentral:misc_RNA from 1 species